rnacentral:lncRNA from 1 species
GGACAGGGGAAGGAGCGAAGAUGGCGGAGUGAGGCGUGCCCCGGGCAGCUGGCCUGCGGGCCCGGGGCAGGCCUCCCGUGAGAAGCGGAGUACUUGUGCUGGACCGUGUGAGGUGCUUUUAUAUUCAGCUCAACAUUCUGAACUCAGGACUUGGCACGUAAGUAGAUAGAGAUAAUCAUCCCAAGUCCUGUUGUAGCGGCUUGAAAGGCUCCAUAGAAGCGACAUACUAAACUGUUAAGAGCAACAGAAGAUGAAGAUAAAAAUGAGUACAAGCCAGCUACCAUGGCUCACCUUUAUGCCCAGCUCUUGGGACCUGGGGAACUGAGGAAUUCCUAUGUGGACUGCUCAGUGAGGCGUCCUGGUUCUUCCAUCCUGUUACUUUCCCCAGUGAGAUGCAGAUGUCUUUCGACAGAUUACCUCCAUGGUUUAGGAUGCAGAGACUGCCUUUCUUUUACGUCAGACUCAACACAGGAAAGCCGUGAGGAUGCAGCCGUCCUGUUGACUUCAGCAAGAAAACAAACCAUGGACUUGGGUCUUCUGCAGCUUUUGAAUUGGAAAGACGGUGUUUGCAAGUAGAAGGAAGAUGCUGAAUUUGAAACAAGUGCUUAGGUUCUGUGGCGUGAGUUGUUUUCUUUUUAAAAGAUCCAAACAAGAAGACUGAACAAAUACCAAGUGUGGGUGACUUCAGGUUUUUUUUUUAAUGUCUUCCAAUUUUAACACUAUUAUAAGCACAGUUGACCGCAGUAAGUUCCAAAUAUUUAAUAUAAUUUGAAGUGAAAGAAAUGUUAUCUAAAUUCUGGCUCACUCUUUGACAGUUUUCCUGGACAAAAACAAGAUACGAUAAAAGCAGAAACCAGGUUUGAUUUUGUAUGGGAGUGAAAUCAUUACAGUUUUAUGGGUAUAAAUCUACAUUUUUAAACAAGAUUUUUCUCUUGGAGAAGAAACCUGUUGUUUAUAAGAAGGCUUUGGACAGUUUAAUAGUCUUAAAUGUUCUGCUUUGCUGUUCUAGUCCUUCUCAGGAAGGCCCAGCUGGGCCUGUGGCUAGUUCAGAAUGGGAGGAAACAUAGGCUGGGACAAUGCUCACCCUGAACUGCCAGCGUGUGGGAGGCCAAGGCAGGAAGAGCAGAUGUUCAGGGCCAGCUUGGACAUCAAGAGGCUCAAAACCAGUAGGAAAAAAAACAGAGCCCAGUAACACCCUCUUUUAUAUUCCUUUUGUGGAAUCAUGUAGCAUGUGAGACUGGGUUGGAAGGGAACUGGCAUAUGUGGUAUUUCAGUUAAGGUGAUGUGGUGGACCCUGAUGUGUAACUGGCCUUCACCUUUGGACAUACAGGAAUGAAGGAAAAACUAAAGCUUGGCAUAUAAAUCUUUUCUUCUAAGAAAAAGAAGCAAAGCUGUCUAAUGUAGCAUUGUCUGACUUUUCAACAUUUUUACUUUAUGUGGUUGCAUUUUUUUAUAAAAGUAUAAAUAAGUUCCUUCAACCCAAAA